AUCUGUCUCUGGAACAAUAGGUACCUGUAUUCUGCACGGACUGCUGGGUAGCGCUGACACUCCGGAGGAGACCGUCCUCUGUCUGCGCCUUGCUGGUUCUGUGCAGGCAGAUGAGUGCCCCAGCUGUAACUGAGGCACAGAGCAAUAAACAGAGUGGAGCCAAUUUCCACAAUGGCAAGAGGGGGCACUGGAGGUGACAACAAUGACAAGGACCCGAGGAACAUCGUUCUGACAAGUUUUUGAUUCUAAGACUGGUGAGAGUGAAUGAUGAGUGAGUUGUCAAUGGUAGUUACUUCGCUCCACACAGAAUGACUGCAGGGAAUAUAUUCUGACAUACCCAACGAAGUCUGCCCAGGGUGAAACAAUUACCUUUGGGGUUUAUAUCAGAAAGGAAGGAGAGGCUGUUUCUACAGGUGUCAUUGAAAAAUCAAUACUGAGCCACAGAUUAUUGGAUCCCAUAGAACCAUGGAGACUUGGCAGUGAAAUUCUUCUAGAGGCAGACGGUGUUCCUAGGUAUGGAAGUAUAAAUCCCAGGGGAAGUGAGCUGAAGAACAUUUUAUGCAUCACUCAUCCUAUUAUGAGCCCUGCGCUGUUCCAUCUCUCUACAAGGCAAGAGAUUUAUU